GUCUUCGGAUGAGUAAAGCGGCGAACGGGUGAGUAAUGCAUGGGAAUCUGCCUGGUAGUGGGGGACCAACGUCUCGAAAGGGGCGCUAAUACCGCAUACGCCCUACGGGGAAAGGGGGGGAUCUUCGGACCUCUCGCUAUCAGAUGAGCCCAUGUCAGAUUAGCUAGUUGGUAGGGUAAAGGCCUACCAAGGCGACGAUCUGUAACUGGUCUGAGAGGAUGAUCAGUCACACUGGAACUGAGACACGGUCCAGACUCCUACGGGAGGCAGCAGUGGGGAAUAUUUGGACAAUGGGCGCAAGCCUGAUCCAGCCAUGCCGCGUGUGUGAAGAAGGCCCUUGGGUUGUAAAGCACUUUCAGUGGGGAGAAAGGUCUGGAACCUAAUACGUUUUGGAAUUGAUGUUACCCACAGAAGAAGCACCGGCUAACUCCGUG
rnacentral:rRNA from 1 species